UGUUCGCAAGCGUAUGUCAGUUAUACUAAAAAAGGAUGGGAAAAUAAGGCUAUUUUGCAAAGGAUCUGAUUCAAUUAUUUAUGAAAGAUUAAAAGAAGGACAAGAUAGCUUGAAAUAUCACACUCAGGAGCACUUAGAUAGGUUUGCUGGUGAUGGCCUAAGGACAUUAUGCCUUGCCUAUAAAGAUUUGGAUGAGGAGUAUUUUUUGGAUUGGAAGGGGCGACAUCAUGAAGCUGCAGUUUCCUUGGAAAGACGAGAAGAAAAAAUUAGAUGAAAUAUACGAAGAAAUAGAAAAGAA